GUGACACUUCGGGGCACAAAUACUAAAAUUGGAACAAUACAGAUGAGAUUGGCAUGGUCCCUGCCCAAGAAUGCCACACGAGUUCAUGAAGCACUUCAUAUUUUU